CCAAACAUCGAAACUUUUGUCUCCACCCCGAUCCUUGCUAUAAAUGGUACGAAUUGUCUCUCCUAAUUCUCAGCCGACGUUUUCUUCUUCUUCAUCAUCUUCUUUGUCUUGGUCGACUCCAACUCCGACUUCGACGACGACAUCGACGUCGAUGACCGAGACGGUGAAUGCGUCCCACCUGUUCAACAUCUCAGGGUACUCGCUCUCGAAGGGUAUGGGGAUCGGAAACUACUUGGCGUCCGAUACUUUCACCGCCGGCGGGCACUCUUGAGCAAUCUAUUUAUACCCGGACGGCGAGAAUGUGCAGGACAAUGCUACGUAUGUUUCGCUGUUUAUAGUUUUGGAGAGCGAAGGCCCUGAUGUGAGAGCGCUUUUUGAACUGAAGCUUUUGGAUCAGAGUGGGAAAGAGAGGCAUAAGGUUUAUACCCAGUUCAGGAGGCCGCCGGAUAGUGGGCCUUACACGAUCGCGGUAGCAUGUGGGGUUACGAGCGAUUUUUCAAAAGAACUGAUCUAGAGACAUCUGACUACCUCAAAGAUGAUUGCAUCAAGGUUCACUGAAGUGUAGGUGUUGUGAGAUCAUACAUGAUUCUGGGAGUCGUGGUACGAGGUCAUCUAGGCGGGAUAAUGGAGGAGGUUCUGGGAAUCGUGGUACUAGGUUGUCUCGUCGAAGGACCUCGACGUUGUCUCAUUGGAGAACCCGAGGUCCUUCGGCUCCUUCCAAUGAAGAUGAAAACAAUCAGCUCGGCCAAUUCCUUGCAAAACAAAGAAACUUGCUUUUCCUUGUAUUUUUGUUUAUGUUUUUGCUUUUGUUUAUUCUUUUAUUCUUUUUUUGUAUUUUGGUAAGUUAUGUAGGGGUGUUUAAAAAACUGCUUUGAUCACACGGCUGCAUCACACCGGCGGCCAAAGAUUCUUGAGGCCCACUUUUAUUUGUUUAUUUUUUGUUGCUAAAACCAACUUCUAUUAAACAGAAGAAACAAUCAAACAGUCUUUCCUCCAAGCAUCACAAACUUCAGUUGGGAGGAA